UGAGAGGAGGGUGGAGCAAAGCCACUGGAGAAAAGUCAUGGAAGGAGGCAAGGGACUCACAGCCUGUGAGAACAACCUGAGGUCGGAUGCACCCAGCCAGGGUGAAGAACUGUGGCAGGAUAAUUGCCCAUCUGCAAUAAAGAAGGCAGAGCGCUGAAGGAUUGAUGCUUUUGAACUGUGGGGCUGGGGAAGACUCUUGAGAUUCCCUUGGACAACAAGGAGAUCAAACCAGUCAAUCCUAAAGGAAAUCAACCCAGAAUAUUCACUGGAAGGACUGAUGCUGAAGCUGAAGCUCCAAUACUUUGGCCACCUGAUACGAAGAUCCAACUCACUGGAAAGACUCUGAUGCUGGGAAAGGUUGACGGCAGAAGGAGAAGGGGAUGACAGAGAAGGAGAUGGCUGGGUGGCAUCACCAAUUCAAUGGACAUGAACUUGGGCAAACUCUCAGAGAGGCAUCCAGGGCCUUCAGCUUCAGCUCACACUACAUCGUGAGCUUCUAUCUGUUCCCUCCAAAUCAGCACGUGCCAUUCGCUCUGUCAGGCUCCUUUCUCUCCAAAACAUCUUGAAGACUGCCCACUGAUCUCACAUGGAGCUUGUUCUCACAUGAUUGUCGGCUGCGUAAUAUUCCAAGGAGUGGGGGUAGGUGUGCUCUAUUGCUCCAUUCCCCUGCAAUGGAGGCAAAUGUCAUGUCUAGCCUUCUGCUAAUUCAAGCAAAGGCAGAAGAAUCGCUUUGAACAGAGUUGCUGCCACAGCUGCCCUUGUCCAAUCCGUGCGCACCGGCUGUGCACCAGGAUUUCACCUGCAGAUUCUUUCUCAGCACUUGCACAACCCUGCCCAGAGGUCACAUAAGAGGAGAACUCCAGCAGAUGGUGAAGGACAAGGAAGCCUGGUGUGCUGCAGUCCAUGGGGUCACAAAUAGUCAGACACAACUGAGUGACUGAACACCAACGACCUUUGGAAUGAAAGAGAGAGAAAGCUGCAGACGCUACAUAGAGCAAAAUAGAAUGAAAAAGGAUAAAACAGAGGGAGUCAGAUGGAGAGAGAGACAGGGAGAGACUGGCAGAGAGAGAGAGAGAUGCAGAAAUAGAAGCAAAACUGAGAGACAAAGCAACUCAGAGGCAGAGCUGCAAACAGAAACUGAAAGAAAACAGGACCGGGGCCCUGCAGAGAAAUGGAGAUGGAGCAAGAGGGAGGGGACAAGAGAAAGUGCCACGCAUGGUGGACAAAAAGGAAGUGGGGGCCCAGGGCCUCCUUUCAGGGUGACGGGAAGAUUCUGGAAUUAGAUCCUUUUGAUGGUUGCACAACUGUGUAUAUGAAAAGCUGCAGGACUGUACGCUUUACAAGGUUGCAUUUUCUGGAACAUGGAAUUAUAUCUCAUUUGAAAAUAUGAGAGGACAUGAGAGAAACCCAAAUUGAAGGACCGUCUACAAAACAUCUGACUGAUGCUCUGCAAGUCUGGCAAGAUCAGGAAGGACAAGGAAAGAGUGAGGACCAUCCCCG
ensembl:lncRNA